rnacentral:lncRNA from 1 species
UUUUGGUAACAUUUGUCCAAAGAGCCCACCCUCAACUACAAGACAAGCAUCAUGAAUUGACAAGUAUCUAAAAUAGGCAGAAGACAAAGCCAACAAACAUAGAGUGUUUAGACAUGACCCCAAUCAAACAAGGGCAUCUCAACCAAUCAGGUGAAGAUCAUGCACUUUCAUACAAGGCAACAGCUUGGGAAUAGCAAAAAAAGGAUGAAGGAUGGGUUUGGCUACAAAUGAAGAUAACUAUCUCGCAAAGAUUCAUUCUCAUUGAUCAUCACUUUUAGUCUCUUUGGGGCCUUAUCUCUCAAACUUGAACCUUGAAGAGUGUUUUGAAGAACAAGAUCCGGCACUCCCAUGGUUUGUUUAUUCUUGUAAAUCUCAUUCUCUCGAGUUCAACUAAGAGAGCGUCCCAAAGCAUAAGCUUUGAGAUUCUCAUAUCUCACUUAGUUUUUGUAGAUCAUAAUCUCUUAAAUCCAUUUCAUUAUCU